rnacentral:rRNA from 1 species
UACAGAGGGUGCAAGCGUUGUUCGGAAUUAUUGGGCGUAAAGCGCGUGUAGGCGGCUUUGCAAGUCGGAUGUGAAAGCCCUCGGCUCAACCGAGGAAGUGCGUUCGAAACUGCAGAGCUUGAGUGCAGGAGAGGAACGCGGAAUUCCAGGUGUAGCGGUGAAAUGCGUAGAUAUCUGGAGGAACACCGGUGGCGAAGGCGGCGUUCUGGACUGCAACUGACACUGAGAAACGAAAGCCAGGGGAGCAAACGGG